rnacentral:tRNA from 3 species
CCGCCCUUAGCUCAGUCGGAUAGAGCAACGGCCUUCUAAGCCGUAGGUCACACGUUCGAAUCGUGUAGGGCGGG